rnacentral:lncRNA from 1 species
GAAGUGAGAGUUGAGAGUAAAAACAAUCUAGAGCAUUCUGAAAACACACUAAGAAAAGAGUCUAGAGCUUAAAAGAAUAGAGAGAGAGGGACAGACAUUAAGAGAGAGUUGAAGAAGGGUGACAGUUGAAAGAAUAUCAGAAAUAUGGAUAAAAAAAUCUAUCAGUUUUUCUAAGGUCUUCUUUAAUCAGUCUGAGGGUAGUAUUUGAGAGCUUUGAAAGAUCAACUUGAGACUAAUUACAUAUUGAGAGUAGAGACAUAUACAUUGAGUGUAUUGUUCUAUUGGAUUUUGGAUGCAAUUUGUGAGUUUCAAUAGUUGAUCUUGACUUUCCAUCUUGAUUCUAAUUUACUGAAGCUUCUUUUGGGGUCUGUUGGUCCAAAUUUUGAAGUUUAUUAGACUCUUGGAUUGACUCAAGCUUGGUGAAGUCUGUUUGUGCUGGUAUUUUUGAUGUUUGGUUUUUCUUAUAAACUUUCUAGGCUGUGUUUGUGGCUGUUGGAACUUCAAACUUGUUGUUGUGAACUGUUGUUGUAUUGUUGUGUUAUCUGCUGCUGUUGAUCCUCUUCUUCUUCUUCUACUUCUAUCUCCAUUAUCCAGGUACCCUUUCAAAGCAUUGUCAACACAUUAUGUAUUUUGAGUUGGGACCUGAUUAAAUACAAGCCACAUUCAGAAUUUUACUCUACUUGUUUUCGUUUUGCC